rnacentral:rRNA from 1 species
GUCUUUUUGAUUUAUAUAUAAAGUCUGACCUGCCCACUGAAAAUUUUAAAUGGCUGCAGUAAUUUGACUGUACAAAGGUAGCAUAAUCAUUAGUUUUUUAAUUAAAAGCUUGUAUGAAAGGUUGGACGAAGUAAAAUCUGUCUCUUUUUAAUAUAAUUAGAAUUUAAUUUUUAAGUAAAAAAGCUUAAAUUUUUAUAAAAGACGAGAAGACCCUAUAGAGUUUAAUAAUUUUAAUAAAAUAUUUAAUUAAGAUUUAUUAAUUUUAUUUAAUUAAAAUUAUUUUAUUGGGGUAAUAAAAAGAUUAAAAAAAUUCUUUUUUUUUAAUACAUUAAUUUAUGAAUAUAUGAUCCAUUUGUAGUGAUUAAAAGAUUAAAUUACCUUAGGGAUAACAGCGUAAUUUUUUUAAAGAGUUCUUAUCGAUAAAAAAGUUUGCGACCUCGAUGUUGGAUUAAAGAUUAAUUUAGGUGUAGAAGUUUAAAUUUUUGGUCUGUUCGACCAUUAAAUCUUUACAUGAUCUGAGUUCAAACCGGUGUAAGCCAGGUUGGUUUCUAUCUUUAUUAAUUUUUUAUAUUUUAGUACGAAAGGACCAAAUAUAAAAUAUAUAAAUAUUUUUAUUUUGAAUAUUAUUAAAUUAGUUAUUUUGGCAGAUUAGUGUAAUGAAUUUAGAAUUCAUUUAUGUAAAUAUUUUACAAAUAAUACUUGUUUAUAAAAGAUAUAAUUAUUUCUUUUAUUUUAAUUAUUUUAUUAAUUAUUUGUGUUUUAGUAGGUGUAGCUUUUUUAACUUUAUUAGAA